UACGGAGGGAGCUAGCGUUGUUCGGAAUUACUGGGCGUAAAGCGCACGUAGGCGGCUUUGUAAGUUAGAGGUGAUAGCCUGGAGCUCAACUCCAGAAUUGCCUUUAAGACUGCAUCGCUUGAAUCCAGGAGAGGUGAGUGGAAUUCCGAGUGUAGAGGUGAAAUUCGUAGAUAUUCGGAAGAACACCAGUGGCGAAGGCGUCUCACUGGACUGGUAUUGACGCUGAGGUGCGGAAGCGUGGGGAGCAAACAGGAUUAGAUACCUGGUAGUC
rnacentral:rRNA from 1 species